UGUGUUCUCUCCGCGCCUCCAACGACCUGGGUCCUUUCCAGCCCCAGGACCUUUGCACGUACUGUUCACCCUGCCUAGAAGGCCCUUCGCUCCAUUUCCCAUGUCUCUGGCUCUUUCUAUCCUCAGGCCCCGCCCUAAGGGCUCCCCCGCCAGAGGGUCAUCAGCACACGUGACGACCUACUCAUCUACGUCCCGUCUGGUUUGAGUCCAUUAGAACCGGGUAUGAGUUCUCUGCAUCUCUUGC
rnacentral:lncRNA from 1 species